UACGGAGGGGGCGAGCGUUAUUCGGAAUUAUUGGGCGUAAAGGGCGCGUAGGCGGCCCGGUAAGUCAAAGGUGAAAUCCCUCGGCUCAACUGAGGAACUGCCUUAGAUACUGACGGCCUCGAGGAAGGUAGGGGCAUGCGGAACUGUAGGUGGAGCGGUGAAAUGCGUUGAUAUCUACAGGAACUCCGGUGGCGAAAGCGGCGUGCUGGACCUUUUCUGACGCUGAGGCGCGAAAGCUAGGGGAGCAAACGGG
rnacentral:rRNA from 1 species